UGGGUAGGGGAGCGUUCUGUAAGCCUGUGAAGGUGUGCUGUGAGGCAUGCUGGAGGUAUCAGAAGUGCGAAUGCUGACAUAAGUAACGAUAAAGCGGGUGAAAAGCCCGCUCGCCGGAAGACCAAGGGUUCCUGUCCAACGUUAAUCGGGGCAGGGUGAGUCGACCCCUAAGGCGAGGCCGAAAGGCGUAGUCGAUGGGAAACAGGUUAAUAUUCCUGUACUUGGUGUUACUGCGAAGGGGGGACGGAGAAGGCUAUGUUGGCCGGGCGACGGUUGUCCCGGUUUAAGCGUGUAGGCUGGUUUUCCAGGCAAAUCCGGAAAAUCAAGGCUGAGGCGUGAUGACGAGGCACUACGGUGCUGAAGCAACAAAUGCCCUGCUUCCAGGAAAAGCCUCUAAGCAUCAGGUAACAUCAAAUCGUACCCCAAACCGACACAGGUGGUCAGGUAGAGAAUACCAAGGCGCUUGAGAGAACUCGGGUGAAGGAACUAGGCAAAAUGGUGCCGUAACUUCGGGAGAAGGCACGCUGAUAUGUAGGUGAAGUCCCUCGCGGAUGGAGCUGAAAUCAGUCGAAGAUACCAGCUGGCUGCAACUGUUUAUUAAAAACACAGCACUGUGCAAACACGAAAGUGGACGUAUACGGUGUGACGCCUGCCCGGUGCCGGAAGGUUAAUUGAUGGGGUCAGCGCAAGCGAAGCUCUUGAUCGAAGCCCCGGUAAACGGCGGCCGUAACUAUAACGGUCCUAAGGUAGCGAAAUUCCUUGUCGGGUAAGUUCCGACCUGCACGAAUGGCGUAAUGAUGGCCAGGCUGUCUCCACCCGAGACUCAGUGAAAUUGAACUCGCUGUGAAGAUGCAGUGUACCCGCGGCAAGACGGAAAGACCCCGUGAACCUUUACUAUAGCUUGACACUGAACAUUGAGCCUUGAUGUGUAGGAUAGGUGGGAGGCUUUGAAGUGUGGACGCCAGUCUGCAUGGAGCCGACCUUGAAAUACCACCCUUUAAUGUUUGAUGUUCUAACGUUGACCCGUAAUCCGGGUUGCGGACAGUGUCUGGUGGGUAGUUUGACUGGGGCGGUCUCCUCCUAAAGAGUAACGGAGGAGCACGAAGGUUGGCUAAUCCUGGUCGGACAUCAGGAGGUUAGUGCAAUGGCAUAAGCCAGCUUGACUGCGAGCGUGACGGCGCGAGCAGGUGCGAAAGCAGGUCAUAGUGAUCCGGUGGUUCUGAAUGGAAGGGCCAUCGCUCAACGGAUAAAAGGUACUCCGGGGAUAACAGGCUGAUACCGCCCAAGAGUUCAUAUCGACGGCGGUGUUUGGCACCUCGAUGUCGGCUCAUCACAUCCUGGGGCUGAAGUAGGUCCCAAGGGUAUGGCUGUUCGCCAUUUAAAGUGGUACGCGAGCUGGGUUUAGAACGUCGUGAGACAGUUCGGUCCCUAUCUGCCGUGGGCGCUGGAGAACUGAGGGGGGCUGCUCCUAGUACGAGAGGACCGGAGUGGACGCAUCACUGGUGUUCGGGUUGUCAUGCCAAUGGCACUGCCCGGUAGCUAAAUGCGGAAGAGAUAAGUGCUGAAAGCAUCUAAGCACGAAACUUGCCCCGAGAUGAGUUCUCCCUGACUCCUUGAGAGUCCUGAAGGAACGUUGAAGACGACGACGUUGAUAGGCCGGGUGUGUAAGCGCAGCGAUGCGUUGAGCUAACCGGUACUAAUGAACCGUGAGGCUUAACCUU
rnacentral:rRNA from 1 species